AACGAACGCUGGCGGCAUGCCUAACACAUGCAAGUCGAACGAGACCUUCGGGUCUAGUGGCGCACGGGUGCGUAACGCGUGGGAACCUGCCCUUAGGUUCGGAAUAACUCCCCGAAAGGGGUGCUAAUACCGGAUAAUGUCUUCGGACCAAAGAUUUAUCGCCUUUGGAUGGGCCCGCGUUGGAUUAGCUAGUUGGUAGGGUAAAAGCCUACCAAGGCGACGAUCCAUAGCUGGUCUGAGAGGAUGAUCAGCCACACUGGGACUGAGUCACGGCCCAGACUCCUACGGGAAGCAGCAGUGGGGAAUAUUGGACAAUGGGCGAAAGCCUGAUCCAGCAAUGCCGCGUGAGUGAUGAAGGCCUUAGGGUUGUAAAGCUCUUUUACCCGGGAUGAUAAUGACAGUACCGGGAGAAUAAGCUCCGGCUAACUCCGUG
rnacentral:rRNA from 1 species